GCUGGGGUGGCGAAAUUGGCAGACGCGCUAGCUUCAGGGGCUAGUGGUAGCAAUACCAUGGGAGUUCAAAUCUCCCUCCCAGCACCC
rnacentral:tRNA from 3 species